UACGAAGGGUGCAAACGUUAUUCGGAAUCACUGGGCGUAAAGGGUGCGUAGGUGGUGAGGUAAGUCGGAUGUGAAAUCUCCAAGCUCAACUUGGAAACUGCAUUGGAAACUACCUUGCUAGAGGAUUUGAGGGGGGAUUGGAAUACUUGGUGUAGCAGUGAAAUGCGUAGAUAUCAAGUGGAACACCAGUGGCGAAGGCGAAUCCCUGGAAAAUACCUGACACUGAGGCACGAAAGCUAGGGGAGCAAACAGG
rnacentral:rRNA from 1 species